CAUCCCUUGACAUCCAGAGAAGCCAGCGGAGACGCAGGUGUGCCUUCGGGAGCUCUGAGACAGGUGCUGCAUGGCUGUCGUCAGCUCGUGUUGUGAAAUGUUGGGUUAAGUCCCGCAACGAGCGCAACCCUUAUCCUUGUUUGCCAGCGAGUAAUGUCGGGAACUCCAGGGAGACUGCCGGUGAUAAACCGGAGGAAGGUGGGGACGACGUCAAGUCAUCAUGGCCCUUACGAGUAGGGCUACACACGUGCUACAAUGGCGCAUACAGAGGGCAGCCAACUUGCGAAAGUGAGCGAAUCCCAAAAAGUGCGUCGUAGUCCGGAUUGGAGUCUGCAACUCGACUCCAUGAAGUCGGAAUCGCUAGUAAUCGUAGAUCAGAAUGCUACGGUGAAUACGUUCCCGGGUCUUGUA
rnacentral:rRNA from 1 species